GUAGUACUCCCUUCGUUCCAAAUUACUCGUCGUGGUUUUAGUUCAAACCACGACGAGUAAUUUGGAANAAAUUACUCGUCGUGGUUUUAGUUCAAACCACGACGAGUAAUUUGGAACGAAGGGAGUACUAG
rfam:Triticum aestivum genome assembly, contig: Triticum_aestivum_CS42_TGACv1_scaffold_579417_7BL